AUUGAACGCUGGCGGCAUGCCUUACACAUGCAAGUCGAACGGUAACGGGCCUUCGGGUGCCGCUGUGUGGCGGACUGGCGGGUAAUACAUCGGUACGUGCCCGACUGUGUGGUAUAACGAGGCGACAGCUUUGCUAGUACCGCAUACGAUCUUCGGAUGACAGCAGGGGACCGCAAGGCCUUGCGCGGUCUGGCCGGCCGAUGUCCGAUUAGGUAGUUGGUGGGUUAAAAGCUUACCAAGGCGACGAUCUGUAGCUGGUCUGAGAGGAUGAUCAGCCACACUGGGACUGAGACACGGCCCAGACUCCUACGGGAGGCAGCAGUGGGGAAUUUUGGACAAAGGGCGCAAGCCUGAUCCAGCCAUGCCGCGUGUAGGAAGAAGGCCUUCGGGUUGUAAACUGCUUUUGGACGGAACGAAAAGACUACUGUUAAUACAGGAGGGUAAUGACGGUACCGUAAGAAUAAGCACCGGCUAACUACGUG
rnacentral:rRNA from 1 species